AGAAUGUCACACUAGUACUAAUUUAGCGACGACAAGUUAAAACCUAAAAUUCGUCUUGCCUUCCCUCCCCAAAUUCCCCGAUGCUCUAACUCUCUUCCCCCUCUUUCUUUGGCAACGGCAGUGAGUGCUCUCCCUCCCUCUUUGGCGAUGACGAUGAUCAACUGAUCCACUCCAAUUGCCUGUCAAGGCAUUAGCUACUCUCUCUCCCCUCUCCUUUCCCCUCCUGUCACAGGUCCGAUCUACGACGCGAUGAAGUGUGGCAGCCACCAGCAACAUCGGCGAGGCCAGGAACCUCAGGUGUCGCUUCAAGCUAGCCGCAAGGCUGGCCGUUACCCCGUUCGCUGCCACUGUCGCCGCCUUAGGCUGGCUGCGAGGUUGACCGCUACCUCGGUCCUCGCCACUACCACCACCUCAGGCUAGCCGCGAGGCUGACCCUUGCCUCAGCCACUGUCUCAUACUGGCCGCAAGCCAUGGGUUACUUCAGGGAAGCCACUGGGAUUAAAUACCCCAGCAGAUUCGAAUCCGGCGCCACCGCCGAGCGGAUCACGCAAGGCAUCGACACCUCCCGUCUCACCGUCAUCAUCAACCGUUUGCCUCCAUCCCUUCAGUUAUCUUUUUUUAAUCUUCUGCAUUCCAUCCGUAAAUCUGGAGGAGUUGGUCAUGAGAAAUGAUUACUAGUUUAAAUAGAUAUAUUUUGUGAAAUUUUUUGUUUUCUGCAAGGAUCUGAGUUUUUUUUUUUCACACCAGAUCUUAUUGCCAGAAAAAAAAAUCGAUCUUGAUGCAAAAAAAAAAAAAAAAAAAACCAUCUUGAACAUAAAAUUCAGUUUACCAAAAAAUUUAAAUCAAUGAACUUUUUUACUGCCAUGGUAUGGUGGCAUUUAUGAGAUUCUUCUUGAAAUCCAAGUGGAAGGAGUGGUAUUGGAGCCGAGACUGUCAGGGUGUUGCCCUUAAAGGAGCUCAUGUCUAUAGAUGUUUGUUCUCGGUUGCAACUGCAUUGCUCAACUUAUGCUGUGAAAUUACUGAUGUAUUUUCAAUGGACUGCAUUUACUUUUUCUUAUUUUGAACAAGUAUAAUUUUGUAUUGAUAUAUAGGAAUUUGUAAGGACUAAAUUUUUCCAUUUUGUGGGUGAAAGUUGGAAUAAUUUUUUAAAUUGCAAGAAGUUUAAAUCAACAAAUUCUAAUAUCUAGCCAAACAGAAAAUCCCUGAUUUGAAUUGCAAGAAGUUUUCUUUUGAGAUUAGGUAAUGAAGAAUAUAUCCAUCAUGUUCUUUUCCUUUUUCUUAUCGUCUUACCUAUUGUUUCUAGGCUUUAGCUAUUUGUAGAUUACUUUAUUUUUGUUAUGCGAACAAGUUUACUUUUGAAAAAUUCAACUUCCUAGUCAUUUUCUCAUCUCAUUUUAUUCUCAUUAAGUUAAUAGUUCAUCAUUUCUAUUGAGAGGUUUACUAAUAUCAAUUUUUGUGGCACAUUUUGCACAAAUAUAGCUCAUUCAUUUUCAACCCUUAAUGUUUGGCUUCUACCAUUUGUUCUUCUAGAUAGGAAGUACUUUGCUUGUAUCUUUUUCCUUGUGUAUUUUUAAGUAUCUUGAAUGUGCUUGUCCUCAAGAAAUAAAAGAACUACAUGUAUACAUUUCUGGUAUGUUUAAUAGGCAAGACUGUUCAUAAUAAGUUCUCAUAUAUGGAUGUUUUUUCUUCUAGGAUGUUUCCUAUAAACUAGAAGAAUUUUACGUCAAAACAUGAAAAUGCAAACCAGAUGCAGGUGUAUAAAAGUUGUUAAAAUUUGUGAAAGGUUGAGGGAUCAAGAUGGUAAUGUUAUCGAGAAUACUCAAGUUGUCUUUCGUCUCCUUGAAAGCAUUAUACAUUAGCAUUGUUUUCUUUAAGUAAGCUAAAAGAAAGUUGUCAUUAAACUUGAAACUUCGAGAAAAAGUGUUUAAUAAUAUUUUAUAUUCUUUUUUGUUCUAGCCAAUUUGUUGUCCAUAUGGACUGAGACAUCGUGUUCCAUCUUCCUAUGGGAACUUAUGUAAGAAUGAAAAUUGUCUCCUCUUUCAUGUUAUGUGGCAGUGAUUCCUAGCCUGAACGGCGUGAGUGGAAAGUACUUCGCUAACAUGAACGAGGAGAAGUGAGAGACAUGGCAGGGAUGCAGCGUUAGCAACAAAACUUUGGGACUUCAGCAAGCAACUUGUGAAUUCAAAAUAAGAGAGACGAGUGUUGCUGGAUUUCUAUGUGGCUAGUUCUUCUCUUGUUUUCUAGCUGUGUGGCUUGAGAAUCUGUACUGUUAUUGUUGUUUGCAAAAUAAAGCCUAUACUGCUAUAUUUUAAAUAUAUAUGAAAUGAAGUGACCUAAUAGUUUGUAAAGCUUAAUGUUGAAUUGUGAACUGAUUGAAUCUA